GGGGCUUCGGCAGCGCCCCCCGCAGCAGCGCCGCAGCUCGCGGCCGGCCUCGCUUCGCCUCCAGCCUUCCGCGGCUGCUCGGGGGUGGAGCGGAGCCCCCGGGCCGGCCCAGCCCGCAGCCCCCGCCCGGCGUGCUCCGGGGGCCGGCAGCAGGACCCCCAGGGGCGCCUGGCGAGCCCCGGGGGCUUCCCGAGGAAAGGAUGCGAGCGGGAGGAUGGCACGAGGGGACGAAAGAACCAGGUGUUUUGAAGUAGAGGAUGAAAGCACCAACUGAGCAGCCUUCUCUGAAAGUUGGAGGAAAAGUGUACUCAGCUGAGAACAAAUUAAAACAAGCUGACAUGGAAUUAAAGCAACUUCAAGCUCCAUCUGAGGUUUUCCUUCAUUUGCUUCAUGUAAUAACUAAUUAUUCUUUUCAGCCAACCUGUGGAGCUAUUACUGUUCUCGAUAUAUGAAGCAGUUGAGGGUGUGCAGUGCCAAACCAGUCCCUUUCCAGUGUGCCUGUUGAAAAUACUCCCCAGUGCUGCCUCUGCCCCUGAGGAACCCAUCACACCUUAGAGGCUCCCUUUGGCUUUGCACGUAAAGGUAUUGUUCAUAAUGCCAACUGCAUCUUCAUCAGCUUCCUGGGGAACUGAGCAGUUGAAGCUGAUGGAUCACUUGCUAUGUCAGCUAGAGCUGUGGUCCCAGCUGCUCUGAGUGAUCAGGGUCUGGGUAACCUGCCAUGCCUCACUCCCUGCUUCAUUCGUACGGGCCACAGAUGAGGGGUUUUCUUGAGGAGUUUGACCAUUACUCUUCCUUGGUCAAACUCAUGUCAGUCUACCAAGCAACUAACAGGACCACCUUCAAUUGGACAGACAGCCGCAUUGUGGAGUGGGAGAAAUUUGCUGAGCUGGCUAAAUAUGAGCCAGAGUCCCAGAAGCCAACAGUGAAGGCUCUCCUUAUCGUGGCAUACUCGGUGAUUAUCAUCAUGUCUCUCUUUGGGAACAUGCUGGUGUGCCACGUGGUGCUGAAGAACAAGAGGAUGCACUCAGCCACCAGCCUCUUCAUUGUCAAUCUUGCGGUCUCUGACAUUAUGAUCACGCUGCUCAACACGCCUUUUACCUUGGUUCGGUUUGUGAACAGCACGUGGGUCUUUGGGAAGGCCAUGUGCCACAUCAGCCGCUUUGUGCAGUACUGCUCGCUCCACGUUUCCACGCUGACUCUAACAGCCAUCGCCCUGGACAGGCACCAGGUCAUUCUGAACCCACUAAAGCAAAGGAUGUCACUAACAAAAGGAGCGCUGAGCAUUUCUGUUAUCUGGCUGAUGGCAACCUGUUUCUCCCUGCCACAUGCCAUCUAUCAAAAGCUUUUCCAGUAUAACUACAGGGAAGCCACUGUCCGGAGCUUGUGCGUCCCCGAUUUUCCUGAGCCUGCAGAACUGGUCUGGAAGUAUCUGGACCUGUCUACCUUUCUUCUCCUCUACCUCCUGCCCCUGCUCAUCAUCACUGUCACCUACACACGCCUGGCUAAGAAGCUGUGGCUCCGCAAUGCCAUUGGAGACAUCACCACGCAGCAGUAUAUCACCCACCACAAGAACAAGAAGAAGAGCAUCAAGAUGCUGAUGCUAGUGGUAGUGGUCUUUGCCGUCUGCUGGUUCCCUCUCAACUGCUACGUGGUGCUCAUCUCCAGCCUAGGCAUCAAGACGAAGAACUCCCUCUAUUUUGCCCUGCACUGGUUUGCCAUGAGCAGCACCUGCUACAAUCCUUUCAUCUACUGCUGGCUGAACGAGAGCUUCCGCUCAGAGCUCAAGUCCCUGCUCUGCAUGUGCCAGAAGGUACCUCCACCUCGGGACAACGUGCUGCCGCCCGUUAUCACGUCCUGCCGAGAGGCAUGGAUGGAGCAGGCCAGGUGCAGGAAGGGACCUUCCUCCCAGACCAUUUGCUCCACUGUCAACGUCCAGACAGCCAACACCGAUCUGUGAGCCAAAGGGCAGAGAUAACCAUCUAGAAUACUGCUGAAGCCUCCUGUGGAAGCAGCUCGAGAAAGGGUGCUCACAGCUCCUGGGGGUCUCCUGAAAAGAGAUUUUCUUCCUUCUCCUGCUGCUGUAACUGUGCAUGGUGUUUUCAGGUUAUCUGCUAACUCGAGGCACAUGGCAGGGUGGAGCUGCUGGCACAGCAAACAUCCACUGCUCCUCAGCCUGCCUGAAAUACAUCUUUGUUGUUAGUUCAGGAUUUGUGUUUGAUUAUCCAGCUCUGGUCGCUGCCCAUUGCAGUGAAUGUGUAGUAAAAAGGGAGCGAGGCAGCACCGUGCCCCCAGCCUGCUUGCUGGCCUCUGCCACCAAACCAUCUCAUGAGCAGAGCAGCUCCAUUGGGAUGGGCAUGUUCCCCACCUGAUAUUCUCCGGUUUUGCUUUUGGAAAUGGGGGUGGAGAGGGAUUUUGAAAUAAACGUGUGCUUAUAACUCCUUGUGGCACAGCUCAGUACACGUUUCAGGGGCAGCCCCUGAUGAACCCCGCAGAGAGCAAACACCCCCUGUCAUGGGAAGGCCAGCCUGAACCAAGGCAGCAUUUCCCUCCCCAUGAUAACAGCUGUGAGACAAAUGAAAUACUGGACUUUAACCCUCCUUCAUGCAUUGGUUCACUUGGAUAACACAUUUUUAAGUUCAGAGAAAUGACUGAUUUUCAGCUGCAUAAGCUGCCCAUGGCAAAGCACCUGCUGAAGUGGCAGCAGAGGGAAGCACUGCUGGCUGCUGCCCAGCUGCUGCUCAGGCAGCCUGGACUUGGGGACCCCCCCCUGCCAUCGAGCACCCCCCCCAGCGCAUCCAGAGCACCUUUAGGGAGAAGGCGAGAUUUUUAAGUGGGGCUGAGAAAAAGCACCCACAGGCACUGCAGAGCAGGCAAGCUGCCACUGGGCGCCAGGGGACGAAGGUAUCCUCUGAAACUUAGCUUAUUUGCAACACCCCUACUCUGCCUGAGCUGCUUGAGCAAAGCAAACAAACCUGAAAUCUAUUACAUCUGUAUUAAUGGGGUUUAAAACUACCUGCACCAACACAGUAGAGUUAGCUGCACUGAUAGCCUAAGAUUCAUUUUCUGUAGCCUUAGUCCAUCACUCCAAGUAAUUUGCCUGCAACAGACACUCUCAGGCUUGACUCAGUCAAGCAUCACUCAGCAUGGUUUGUCCUCCCACAGCAAGUACAGGGUGAUUUCCUUUUCCCUUGCAGCUGAAGUCACUGUUGGAAUUACUCUACAACUGCUGCCAACACUUUUCCCAUUGCAAGAAAAAUAAGGAAGAUAACCCCACACCUCCUGAACCUGCUUGGUGAGGUUGCUUCUCAUUGCUUAGCACAUUUUAUUCCAGCACUUCCCAUUUGUUAUUUGAUUCCAAACUGAAAAACUAGAGCAUGACAGCAAUUUCAAAACCAGCAAAAUAAGAAUGGCACCAAGCUAAGGCCUGGCAUCAUGCGCUUCACCAAGCUGUUGUUUAAAAAGCUUGUUUCACUCCUGGGUACCAGUCUCCCCACCUUCAAUAUGUUUACCAGGGGUCAGCACCAGCCUUUGCUGCUCUGCUGAGUUGCCGCCCGCAGCCCCUGCAGCCCAGCAGCAGCUCGUGCUCAGAUGAACACAGCAGGUGCUCAAGCAGCAGUGGUGGUGUUGUUGGACUAGCCAGGUGUAGGCAAUUACUUUAACAGUGAUGAACUGUCAGAAGCCUGGAAAAGGGAGAACAACCUUACUACUCCAGCAUGGGAGAAAACAUGGGUGUUGUGGUGACUGUCCCUGCAGGCUCCUAGAGGAGGAGCCCUGCCCAGUGGGAACCUUGGGGAGCUCCAGUGCCUUCCUUCCCCUCCACCCCUGCCUGCGUUCCUCACCCCUCUCCCUCAAGCUCUCUGCCUGGCAGUUGUUGCUGUCCUCCCGGGCCACUCUUUGCCUGUGCAAGAUGAGUGACAGCUGCCGGGGACAGGCAGAAGGUGAUUUACCAAUUUUUCCUGAAGCUAAGUUGUCGGUGAUUUUCUUUCGCCCUUGCAUUUCCUCUGCCAUUGUGAAGGAAGGAGAGGCUGAGGGCGAAGGUAGGAAGACCUCCAGUGUUUUUCUACUUUUUGCUUUAAGCAUUGCUAAAACAUUCUCUGCCCCCCACUCCUGCUAUGAAUUGGAGGAUAGGAGCCUUUCUUCCACUACAUUUUAUGUAUUUUUGUAUACAUUUUUGUACAUACAUGUACACUGCUGACGCUGGGCCGACCUCCUCCUUCCUAAACCUGCUCCCUGGUGUGUGUGCCAGGACUGGGCACUGUACAGGCAGCCCCUGGGCACGGCCGGGUCGGGUGGCUGGUGGCAGGGGCCCGGCGGUGCUCGCAGCAGCCCUGCUGGGGAGCCUGCUCCUGCUCCUUGCUGGGGUCGCUUUUGCUAUGGGUGGCCUCUGGAAGUAGCCUCUGGGCUCUCAGAUGUGGCGUGUGCUCGCUGCUCCUGCUUGCUUCAAAUUAACUGUAGGAGAGGAGACAGGAACGCAGAGAAAAUGGUGCAGGGCGCAUUUGAGAGGUUCAGUGCCACAAUUACUCUGUCAAGGAGACCACGGACAUGCACAGCUGUGAAAGAUGAGCCCAGCAGGAGAAGUGGUUUAUUACUGUGCCAAGUGAGACCAAUUCCUACCAGGAUGAGUAAUUCACAUGCAAGGAGUAUCGGCAGACAAGAAGAGAUGACAAACAUCACCAAGGCCCUGUCCUUCCUGAAAUUAAAAAGCACAAGCUGAAAUUUAAUUACUGGCUUUCUGCUUGACUUUUCCCUGUGUGAAUGCACUUCCCCCCCUGCCGUUGCACCCUCACGGUUGGGGAGCACACAAGCAGCGGGGCUGGCUGCUACCUCCCACCUGUGCCCCCCAGUGCCAAGCAGUGGCUCACUGCUAAUGCAGCGAUGCCUCAUGAGGACAUGGGGCUGGCACAGGGACUGGUGGUGGUGCUGGCACUGAGGCAGCUGGCGGUGUGUGCCCACCUUCAGGGCUACAGCCAGCCCAGCGCGGAGGUCUGAGGGAAACUUCUGCUGGAAGUUGAGCAUCUGAGCUCAGGUGUGGUUGGGUGCCCAGCUGCCACGCUUAAUUCUGCCAAAUUAUCCAUGCUGCCUAAGUUGAUGCUAACGACUUGGCUGAAGGUGCCUUCAAUAGGUGUGAAAAUCUGAAGGACCACCUUUCACCAUCUGAAUGUCGGCUGAGCAGGACGGUGCUGCUGAGGUUAGAGCCUAGAACCAGCACCCACGCAGCGACGGAGGGCACUGGCCAAUGAGGAAUCAGACAUGCUAAUGGCCAAGACUUGAGGUCUUGAGAAAUACGCUCUGAUCAUUUAUGAAAGAUUCUAGUGACUGUCAUAUAAUUGUGUGUAAUCAGGCAUCAUUGUGUGCUAAUGAACAGCUGUGCCAUGUUAAACCCCUGCGGAGCCACUGUUCUGCUUACCACGGAUGGUUUUGCCGCUUCUUGUUUGUGCACGCUCAAACAGCUUUGGGAGGCCCCAGGUUGCUCCUUGUCCACUUCUACCACAUUUUAUAAGCUCCAGCAAGCUAACUGCACGUUGCUCUUCUGUCUGUUACCACUCUUCUGCCUGGUCCUACGGUCCCUUUUCCUGCCCUCUCCUCCAUUUGAGCAUGGGUUUUUGGUCUGUAUUUUCAUGUAACAUUGUUUUUAAUCCAGAUACUCUCAGACCAAAAAUAGACAAGCAAACACAGGG